UAGUAUGAAAAGUUAUCGAUUACACAUGAGUAUUUUAAACAAUCACAAUAAAAGAUAAUGAAUGAAUAUGCUGAAUGCAGAGAGGUUGUUUAUUAGUUGACUAAAGAAAUGCAUAAUAAAUCUAUGGAAAAAGAAUGAUUCGUAACAAAAACAGCGUGCAAUGUUGAGCAAAUUGAAAAAGACACAAUUCGUUUAAUAAAACACACAAUCGUCAAUAGCA